GGCUUAACACAUGCAAGUCGAACGAUGUAGCAAUACAUAGUGGCGCACGGGUGAGUAACGCGUGGGAAUCUGCCUGUUAGUGGGGGACAACUUAGGGAAACUUAAGCUAAUACCGCAUACGCCCUACGGGGGAAAGCGGGGGACCUUCGGGCCUCGCGCUAACAGAUGAGCCUGCGUUGGAUUAGCUAGUAGGUGAGGUAAAGGCUCACCUAGGCGACGAUCCGUAGCUGGUCUGAGAGGACGACCAGCCACACUGGAACUGAGACACGGUCCAGACUCCUACGGGAGGCAGCAGUGGGGAAUUUUGGACAAUGGGCGAAAGCCUGAUCCAGCCAUACCGCGUGAGUGAAGAAGGCCUUCGGGUUGUAAAGCGC
rnacentral:rRNA from 1 species